rnacentral:rRNA from 1 species
AUACGGAGGGUGCAAGCGUUAAUCGGAAUUACAGGGCGUAAAGGGCGCGUAGGCGGUCUAUCAAGUCAGUUGUGAAAUCCCACGGCUCAACCGUGGAGGUGCAUCUGAAACUGAUAGACUUGAGUAUGGGAGAGGAAAGUGGAAUUCCCGGUGUAGAGGUGAAAUUCGUAGAUAUCGGGAGAAACACCAGUGGCGAAGGCGACUUUCUGGACCAAUACUGACGCUGAGGCGCGAAAGCGUGGGGAGCAAACAGGAUUAGAAACCCCAGUAGUCC